UACGUAGGGUGCAAGCGUUGUCCGGAAUUAUUGGGCGUAAAGAGCUCGUAGGCGGUUUGUCGCGUCUGCUGUGAAAUCUGGGGGCUCAACCCCCAGCCUGCAGUGGGUACGGGCAGACUAGAGUGCGGUAGGGGAGAUUGGAAUUCCUGGUGUAGCGGUGAAAUGCGCAGAUAUCAGGAGGAACACCUAUUGCGAAGGCAGCUCGCUGGGACGUAACUGACGCUGAGACGCGAAAGCGUGGGGAGCAAACAGG
rnacentral:rRNA from 1 species